rnacentral:rRNA from 1 species
CGGCGUGCCUAAUACAUGCAAGUCGAGCGAACAGACGAGGAGCUUGCUCCUUUGACGUUAGCGGCGGACGGGUGAGUAACACGUGGGUAACCUACCUAUAAGACUGGGAUAACUUCGGGAAACCGGAGCUAAUACCGGAUAAUAUUUCGAACCGCAUGGUUCGAUAGUGAAAGAUGGCUUUGCUAUCACUUAUAGAUGGACCUGCGCCGUAUUAGCUAGUUGGUAAGGUAACGGCUUACCAAGGCAACGAUACGUAGCCGACCUGAGAGGGUGAUCGGCCACACUGGAACUGAGACACGGUCCAGACUCCUACGGGAGGCAGCAGUAGGGAAUCUUCCGCAAUGGGCGAAAGCCUGACGGAGCAACGCCGCGUGAGUGAUGAAGGUCUUCGGAUCGUAAAACUCUGUUAUUAGGGAAGAACAAAUGUGUAAGUAACUAUGCACAUC